GUGGUCAAGCUAGAAAGGGCUUACGGUGGAUACCUUGGCACGCAGAGGCGAAGAAGGACGUGGCGACCGACGAAACGCUUCGGGGAGCUGGAAGCAAGCACCGAUCCGGAGAUGUCCGAAUGGGGCAACCCAAAAACUACCGGCUGAAUCAAUAGGCCGGUCAGAGCCAACCGGGCGAACUGAAACAUCUUAGUAGCCCGAGGAACAGAAAGAAAACUCGAUUCCCCAAGUAGCGGCGAGCGAAAAGGGAAAAGCCUAAACCAUCAACUUUCGAGUCGAUGGGGUCGUGGGACAGCACCACCCAGAGAGUAGAGACUAGACAAAGCAGUUGAAUGCUGCACCAGAGAAGGUGAAAGUCCUGUAGUCGAAAGUCAAAACCCUGGAGCUGUAUCCCGAGUAGCUUGGGGCCCGUGGAAUCCCAAGUGAAUCAGCGAGGACCACCUCGUAAGGCUAAAUACUCCUGCGUGACCGAUAGCGAACCAGUACCGCGAGGGAAAGGUGAAAAGAACCCCGGGAGGGGAGUGAAAUAGAACCUGAAACCGUAAGCUUACAAGCAGUGGAAGGACGAUUUAACGUCUGACCGCGUGCCUGUUGAAGAAUGAGCCGGCGACUUAUAGGCACUGGUAGGUUAAAGCGUCAAUAGCUGAAGCCAAAGCGAAAGCGAGUCUGAAUAGGGCGUUAAUCAGUGUUUAUAGACCCGAACCCGGGUGAUCUAACCAUGUCCAGGAUGAAGCUUGGGUAACACCAAGUGGAGGUCCGAACCGACUGAUGUUGAAAAAUCAGCGGAUGAGGUGUGGUUAGGGGUGAAAUGCCAAUCGAACCCGGAGCUAGCUGGUUCUCCCCGAAAUAUGUUGAGGCAUAGCGGUUGUGAAUAUAACCGGGGGGUAAAGCACUGAUUCGGUGCGGGCUGCGAGAGCGGUACCAAAUCGAGUCAAACUCAGAAUACCCGGCGAACACACAGCCAGUCAGACGGUGGGGGAUAAGCUUCAUCGUCGAAAGGGAAACAGCCCAGACCACCAGCUAAGGUCCCCAAAUGACGACUCAGUGAUAAAGGAGGUGGGAGUGCACAGACAACCAGGAGGUUUGCCUAGAAGCAGCCAUCCUUAAAAGAGUGCGUAAUAGCUCACUGGUCAAGCGCUCCUGCGCCGAAAAUGAACGGGGCUAAGUCGUCUACCGAAGCUGUGGACUUGUAAUACAAGUGGUAGGGGAGCGUUCUGCGUUAGGGAGAAGCACUAGCGGUAAGCAGGUGUGGACGAAGCAGAAGUGAGAAUGUCGGCUUGAGUAGCGAAAAUAUUGGUGAGAAUCCAAUACCCCGAAACCCUAAGGGUUCCUCCGGCAGGCUCGUCCGCGGAGGGUUAGUCAGGACCUAAGGCGAGGCCGAAAGGCGUAGUCGAUGGACAACGGGUCAACAAUCCCGUACCUAUUUGGGUUGGUGCAGAGGGACGGAGAAGGGUGACAGCAGCCGGAGGAUGGUUACCGGCGCAAAAUCGUCAGACGUUGAAGGAAGGCGAAAACUUCCCGAGUUGAGCGAUUGAGUCCGACCCGCUACGGCGGGGAAGUGCUGAAGCUCAGGCUUCCAAGAAAAGCUCUAAACACCAUAAACCCAAACAGCCUGUACCCGAAACCGACACAGGUAGGGGAGUAGAGAAUACUAAGGGGCGCGAGAUAACUCUCUCUAAGGAACUCGGCAAAAUGGCCCCGUAACUUCGGGAGAAGGGGUGCCCACGGCAACGUGGGUCGCAGUGAAGAGGCCCAGGCGACUGUUUACCAAAAACACAGGUCUCCGCCAAGUCGCAAGACGAAGUAUGGGGGCUGACGCCUGCCCAGUGCCGGAAGGUUAAGGAAGUCGGUCAGCACUUCGGUGUGAAGCUGGCGACUGAAGCCCCGGUGAACGGCGGCCGUAACUAUAACGGUCCUAAGGUAGCGAAAUUCCUUGUCGGGUAAGUUCCGACCCGCACGAAAGGCGUAACGAUCUGGGCGCUGUCUCGGAGAGAGGCUCGGCGAAAUAGGAAUGUCUGUGAAGAUACGGACUGCCUGCACCUGGACAGAAAGACCCUAUGAAGCUUUACUGUAGCCUGGAAUUGGGUUCGGGCCUCGUUUGCGCAGGAUAGGUGGGAGGCAUUGAAGAGUUCCUUGUGGGGAACUUGGAGCCAACGGUGAGAUACCACUCUAACGAGGCUAGAAUUCUAACCCUUAUCCGUCAACCGGAAAGGGAACCGUUUCAGGUGGGCAGUUUGACUGGGGCGGUCGCCUCCUAAAAGGUAACGGAGGCGCGCAAAGGUUCCCUCAGGCUGGACGGAAAUCAGCCGACGAGUGCAAAGGCAGAAGGGAGCUUGACUGCGAGAGCUACAACUCAAGCAGGGUGGAAACACGGCCUUAGUGAUCCGACGGCACUGUGUGGAAGGGCCGUCGCUCAACGGAUAAAAGUUACUCUAGGGAUAACAGGCUGAUCUCCCCCAAGAGUUCACAUCGACGGGGAGGUUUGGCACCUCGAUGUCGGCUCAUCGCAACCUGGUGCGGAAGUACGUGCCAAGGGUUGGGCUGUUCGCCCAUUAAAGCGGUACGUGAGCUGGGUUCAGAACGUCGUGAGACAGUUCGGUCCAUAUCCGGUGCAGGCGUAAGAGCAUUGAGAGGAGCCUUCCCUAGUACGAGAGGACCGGGAAGGACGCACCGCUGGUGUACCUGUUAUCGUGCCAACGGUAAACGCAGGGUAGCCAUGUGCGGAGCGGAUAACCGCUGAAAGCAUCUAAGUGGGAAGCCCACCUCAAGAUGAGUGCUCUCAUGGCGUUAAGCCAGUAAGGUCACGGAAAGAACAUCCGUUUGCUAGGCGUUAGGUGGAAGUACAGCAAUGUAUGCAGCCAAGACGUACUAAUAGACCGAGGGCUUGACCUCA
rnacentral:rRNA from 4 species